rnacentral:misc_RNA from 1 species
UCUCCGUUGGUGAACCAGCGGAGGGAUCAUUAUCGAGUUUACAACUCCCAAACCCUAUGUGAACCUUACCUCUUGUUGCUUCGGCGGGAACGCCCCGGCGCCCCUCACGGGGCUAGCCCGGAACCAGGCGCCCGCCGGAGACCCCCAAACUCUUGUUUUUACCAAUGGUAUCUUCUGAGUGUUAAACGCAAAAUAAAUCAAAACUUUCAACAACGGAUCUCUUGGCUCUG